UUUUCUUCAUGAAAAUUGUAGAGGACGUUAAACCGAGCGCGUGCAUAUGUGGUACGUAUAAAUUGGAGUUUGUAUGCCAAAGUUAUGAGUAUUUUUGUGUGAGGGGUAUUUUGGUCAUUUCAUCACACCUUAAUUAUAAGGGGCUGAUCAGCCCCAUUUCCAGCCAUUCUCCCCAUCCUUCACGACAGAAACCAGAAAGAAAAAAGAGAGAAAGAGAGAGAGAGAGAGAAAGAAAGAAAGACGAAAGAGAUCUUCCGGUGCGGAUUCCGGCAAUUUCCGGCAGCAAAAAUGUUCUUGUUGUUUUCUGGCUUGGUGGUAGUUGAAAGAAGUGUUAAGGAUGUUGAGAUGAAGCCGCUGUCAAAAUUUGGUGACCAUCGGAGGAGUUGGCCGACGAGUGAACAGUGCCGCCGAGUGAACAGUGCGGAUGACGUAUCAAAUUACUACUGGGUGAAGGAGCUCUUAUGCGUGGUUGCCUAAAUAGUACUUUUGCAGGCUAGAUUAGUUGAGGUCGGGCGUACAUGGAGUCGAGGCAUAGCCAACAGCAUUGCUUCCGCGUACUCAUUCUAUUUCUGUUUUCUGUGAUACCUAAUAGAUUAAUAUUGCUCUGAUAAGCUGUGGGAUUAAUAUUGUUUUUGGGUUGAGACUGUUAUUUGAGAAAUUGAAGUUGUGAUUUGGGGAGCAGGUGGCUCCAGGAGUAUAAGGUUGGUUUGUUUGAA